CUUGACAUGUACGGAAGCCUGGAGAGAUUCGGGUGUGCUCGAAAGAGAGCCGUAACACAGGUGCUGCAUGGCUGUCGUCAGCUCGUGUCGUGAGAUGUUGGGUUAAGUCCCGCAACGAGCGCAACCCUUGUCAUUAGUUGCUACAUUCAGUUGAGCACUCUAAUGAGACUGCCGGUGACAAACCGGAGGAAGGUGGGGAUGACGUCAAGUCCUCAUGGCCCUUAUGGGUAG
rnacentral:rRNA from 1 species